rnacentral:rRNA from 1 species
UUAAUAAUUUAUAUAAAAUAUUUUGAUGAAUAUUUAUAUAAUAUUAACAUAAUUCAUAUUACUAUAUAUUUUAGUAUAUGAAAUUUUACUUUGAGAAAAUUAGAGUGCUUAAAGCAGGCAUAUGCCUUGAAUACUCCAGCAUGGAAUAAUAUUAAAGAUUUUUAUCUUUCUUAUUGGUUCUAAGGUAAGAAUAAUGAUUAAUAGGGACAGUUGGGGGCAUUUGUAUUUAACAGUCAGAGGUGAAAUUCUUAGAUUUGUUAAAGACAAACUAAUGCGAAAGCAUUUGCCAAGGAUGUUUUCAUUAAUCAAGAACGAAAGUUAGGGGAUCGAAGACGAUCAGAUACCGUCGUAGUCUUAACCAUAAACUAUGCCAACUAGAGAUUGGAGGUUGUU